CUCUCUCUCUCUCUCUCGGGGUGGGGUGGCGAAUGACUAGUUAGAUGUGCUUGUGGCAAGUCUCCGCCCCAAGAUUUCCCCUGCUAGGGGAAGAUGCCAAGGUAGAGGCACCUUGCAUCUGAACUUGGAAGGGGCUGCAGCUGCCAGCUGAGGCCACCCUUUCCCCAGCCAAAGCACCGGCCGGCCGCUCUCCAUGGUACUGCGGAGAGCUCAGCUCCGCCCUUCUCUUUCAGAAGGACAGCACCCGGCGUCACGUAACCCAGCCUUCUCGGGCUUCACCACCGCCUCUUCCUUCCCUUUUUCCUUCUCCUCCUCCUCCUCCUCCUCUUCCUCCUCCUCCUCGUUCUCCUCCUCCUCCUUUUCCUCCUCCUCCUCCUCAUCAUCCUCCUCCUCCUGCUCCCCCUGCUGCUCCCCUCAGUUCCAUAUUCUUCUCUUCCGCACUGUUGGAGAUAGACGCUCAAGCCUGACGCCUCGGAAAAAGGCAGCAGCAGUCGCCUUAUCCUUAGACCUCAGGAAAUUCGCUUUGACCAAUGCAUGCUUCAGGUUCUGGCUCGAGCUAAAGAGAAUAACCAGGCAGAUUUCUUGGUUCUUAUAAAACGACAAAAUAAAGUCAAAAUGCAUCACCAACAUACAACCAAUUGACAUGCUGGAAUUUUAGGGUGGUCUUGCAGAGACAGAGAAAAGAGAAGAGCCCUUGGGAUUGAUUUCACCAUCUAACAGUUUCUGGCUGUUUCACAACAGGGUUUGAGACUUACCUACAGGGCUGAUAAACAAAGUGAAUCAGCCUGGGAGGGCAUGCACAGGAAACUUGGCCUUCGCUCCAGUGGUGCUGGAAGCGCGUGAAAUGACAGAAGUAGGCCCCUGAAGCUAUUUUGGUGUCUCACCCUGUCCUUUCUCCUUCUGUGCUUGGAGUCAACAUCUGGAGGGACCUUGAGGCCUGCCAAGCAGCCAAAGAUCCUGGCUCAGUGUCGGCUACGUGUUCCUCUCUGAGAAAAGUGUCUUUCUUCUGACUCUGCUCUCCUACUGCUGGCACCAGCCCGUGUACUUUGAAAGUGUUGGUCCUGGAAUAGUGAAGUACCUGUUGGUGCCACAGAUGCCCUUACUUAACAUCAUCGGAUGCAAAUGGAUCAGUGAUCCCUCUUGAGCAUCAGUGGCCGUCUUUUUCAGAACGUUGCCUCCAAAGUGUACCCCCCCUUUGGCCUGGAAGUUCAGGGGCUAUCUCAUAGGACUGGAGUCUCCGCUUUCCAGGUGGAAGGAGACUACUGGGAGAGAGGAAGGGGCUGCUGGAAGAGAAGAAGAAGAAGAAAAAAAGAGCUGAAGGAGGGUGCUCUCCUCUCACUGCCGCCGCCUCCCCCCUCCCCCCCACUCCUCUGCGGACCCCCUUUUCUCCCUGAAGGUGUCCAGGACCGCUUCGACCCUGUCGCCCCCGGCUCUCCCCCGCCGCUCCCCAGCCCCGAGCAUGGGGACGGCGCUGGUCCAGCGCGGGGGCUGCUGUCUCCUCUGCCUGUCGCUGCUGCUGCUGGGCUGCUGGGCAGAGCUGGGCAGCGGGCUGGAGUUCCCGGGCGCCGAGGGCCAGUGGACGCGCUUCCCGAAGUGGAACGCCUGCUGCGAGAGCGAGAUGAGCUUCCAGCUGAAGACGCGCAGUGCCCGCGGCCUCGUGCUCUACUUCGACGACGAGGGCUUCUGCGACUUCCUCGAGCUCAUCCUAACACGCGGCGGCCGCCUGCAGCUCAGCUUCUCCAUCUUCUGCGCCGAGCCCGCCACGCUGUUGGCCGACACGCCGGUCAACGACGGCGCCUGGCACAGCGUGCGCAUCCGCCGCCAGUUCCGCAACACCACGCUCUACAUCGACCGCGCCGAGGCUAAGUGGGUGGAGGUCAAGUCCAAGCGCAGGGACAUGACGGUGUUCAGCGGGCUCUUCGUGGGCGGCCUGCCACCCGAACUGCGCGCCGCGGCCCUCAAGCUCACGCUGGCCUCGGUGCGCGAGCGCGAGCCCUUCAAGGGCUGGAUCCGCGACGUCAGGGUCAACUCGUCGCUGGCGCUGCCGGUGGACGGCGGCGAGGUCAAGCUGGACGACGAGCCGCCGAACAGCGGUGGCGGGAGCCCGUGCGAGGCGGGCGACGAAAGCGAGGGCGGCGUGUGCCUCAACGGGGGCGUGUGCUCCGUGGUCGACGACCAGGCCGUGUGCGACUGCUCGAGGACCGGCUUCCGUGGCAAGGACUGCAGCCAAGAAGACAACAAUGUGGAAGGUCUGGCGCACCUGAUGAUGGGCGACCAAGGUAAAAGUAAAGAUCAGAAAGUACUUCUGUGACUUUAUGGUACAGCCUGUCAACAUACCAUGUGAAAAAGUUACUGUACAGAACAUAUCUUAGAAAAAGAGCAGUGUAAUGUGUAGCAAUUCAGCAAUGGCAUGAAUCCAGGUCAGUGUAUCUCUGCUUUGUGUCACUCACCUGGAAGUCUCUUAACAUACUGUCUACUAACUUCCUUUUGUAGCUUUCAACAUUGAUAGUUGUACAUUUAAAAGAUCCUAAAUCUAGCCUAUGGAAAAAUAGUUGGUUCACAUUAUAAACUCAUGUUUCUCAAAUCUUUACAUCACUAGGUAAUUCUGAAUUAAUCUCCACACUCCACUUUUACCUGGUGUAACUAAGAGCCUUUGAAAUGAACCUGUGCAAUCUAAUAUAUUUUUGUGGCAGUCUUCAGAAGCAAAAUUGAAUUAAAAAAAAGUCAGUUGUCAUUAUCAUAUUGAUUUCUUUGUGUGGAUUUUGUUGUUUACUAAAUUCUAGGUGUCCAGUUAGAAAUUAAUUCAUUUCAUUUAAAGAAAAUAGUAACCAUGCAAUUGAGAAUAGAGGAGUGUUAUUUGGAUAAGCUCUUCCUCCUUACGAUCCUUCCUCCAGAUGCUAGCAUUGGACUUCCUUACUCAUGGACCCUGGCAAUUCCACCUCAUUCAGGGUUUGGAAUCUGAAAAACAUUUCACCAUCUGGGUAUGACAAAAAUGACUAAGGCAAAUGGAUAGAUGUUAGGGACUUGAGCUGUGUGAUGGCAGUGUCAAGGGGACUGGAAUUAGUGCUUUCUCUUCGGCAUCUGUCAUCAUACACGGGUGUCAUUUGGCUAUUUGAUUUCAAACUUUCAAGUAAAUAAAUUUGGUUUAUUAUUUCUAAAUGGUUAUAUUACAACUUUGAAUUAAACAUAAUUAAGAAAAAAUUCAAUUUUGAUGAAUUGUAGCUUUCUUUUUGAGAUCUCAUGCAGUGCCCAGAGCAAGUCUACCUGAUGCUGGCUGUAGGUGACUCCAGGCUUCAGGGUAUUGUAUACAGUUGUUGAUUUUACAUUUUUCACUUGAAAAUUAUAAAUGGCAUUAUUUUAGCAUUACUAAAAAUGCUAAUUAAUUCAAUUUUUCCUUAGAAGCUUAACUUAGCAACUUUCCUAGAAAUUUAGUGUUUCUCCCCUUCUAUUUCUGUAUAGGUGUGUGUGUGUAUGUGUGUGUGUGUGUGUGUGUGUGUGUUCAUGUGUGCAUAAGUGCACAGAUUUCAUGUGCAUAAAUGUGUCUUGUGGAACUGUUCAGAUCACUUCAAUAAUUGUUUAUUUGUUAAUUUAUUUAUUAGGAGUUUGCUCUACCAGUUUUCUGAAAGAAAGAAUGACUUUUUAAAUAAAGAAUAAGAGGAAUAAAGUACACAUGCAAAUCCAGCCAUGAGUGCUGCCACAGAACCAGGAAACAGCAGAAUUUUAAGCAUAUACUUGGUCCUUAUGAGCAGCAAAGGAGCUCUCUGAGCACUCAAUGUGGCCUCUCACUUCAUCUUUAUUUUAAUGUCCAUCACUUCAGUGUGCAGUUAAUACAAGUCACUUUAAAAACGUAUGUUUGUUUGCUAUUUCUAUGAUUUAACUUACCUUAUUGUGUUCAGAAAUAGUAAAUCUCAACUUUUUUGAUUCUCUGUAAUGUCGAGUUUAUAAAGAGAAAUUCCCCAUGUCUUUAUAAAUCCUGUUCAUAACCAUUUAUUUAGGUACUGAUUAAAUAAGAAUUUUAUUAGACUUAUAGAAGAUCAGCCACUGUUCAUGGAACACAGAAGAAAUUGUCUAUGGUAUUUUUCUACAGAUGAAGUUGUACAACUAGAAGAAUUUCAUGGUUGCCUGAAAAAUGCUGCAAAUUACAUUUAUAUUUUAAUGUAGUUAAAAGAAUAUCUCUUUUCUAAAAUUAUUAUCUAUUAAAAAUUAUUAGUAUCAAAUUGAAGAUGGGUUUAUCUCAAUAUUUUUAAUCAACUUUUAGGAUAGAGGAGGUACUUUAUAAAUAGUACAGCAGAUAGAUUCAGCAGAUUUUAUAAUUAUAUAUAAAAUUUUAUGAUAUGAUUUUUCUAAUUAGUUAAUAUAAACAGAACUUUGAAUAUCGUGGAAUCUGUGGGCAGAAAUCAUUGAAAAUCAAGUUAAAAAGAAGCAGUUGUAUCUCAGUGUCAGCAGAGAUUCUGAUUACUAUGAUAUGAGGGACUUUGUGAAGACCAAACUGAAAUAGUCAAUACAAAAUGAGUCUUAUGGACAUUUCAAUGAUAUUUUCCAAUUCUAUACAAAAAAUGAUGAAACUAGUCUUUGUGUGAUUUUUUUCCAAGAUAAAUUUAGAGGAAAACUGUUGUAAAACAUUGUCUAGGAUCCAUAACAUCUCAUUUUCAACUUUUCCAUUUAGGGUAGUGAAAUCCAGAAAUAGUAUACAAUUGUGGGUAAGAGUCAUGAAUUCCCAAACCUGGAUGCAGGCUCCAUAUUCAUUCUGUCAUGAGCUUAAAUAAACUAUUUAACCUUCUAAUCAGGUCUUUAACUCAGGAUUAGGAGGCUGAUGCAAGAAUGUUGCCAUUAUGUUCCAGGAGAUACUGUAAGUUCUUAUCUCAAAGAAAUAAAAAAAAAAAUCCACAAAAUUCUAACCUCCAUUAUCUGAAUUUUUAAGAUUUAUAAUAUGGGUCUAUAAAAUAACCCACACCUGAAGGUGAUAGCAACAUGCAAAUGUGCUUAGAAACAUAUUCAUUGGCAAGAACAGAAAAAGUUAUUACAUCCAUUUGAAUUAAAUGAUUUUUGAACGUGAAUGAUCCAAAGCUUAUCAAACAUGGUAGCAUUAUUUUAUUAUCUUAUUCCCUUCAUAUAAUACCUUAUUAUUGUCAUCCUGAGAUUGUUUCAGGUUAUAACAAACUGGAUUUGAGCAUCGUACAGAGAGCAUAGGCAAUAGAGAGUUAGAAGCUGAUGCAUUGUAAUUCUCAGUAUUUGUUUAUAAUGGUCUGGCAGAUUGAACUGACAGUUUGUAGAGAUUUAUUUUAAAUUAGACUUAGCAAUUACUUUUUGGUGUCUCACAGGAGACUAACUUUCAAUGUUUGUCCUUCCUUCCUUUCUUCCAGGACAAAAACAAAACAAAACAGCAACAACAAACCUAAUAAAGGCAGAGUCUUCUCAUUGGACUAACAGGAUGCAGAGAGGUUUCUCAUCUCCUGUUCCCUCUAGGAGACUUUUGGGACUUUAGUGGCAAUUUGGAAGCCAUUCCUCUAAAUGUGAAAGUCAGAUUUUAUUUUAAAAUUUUAUGCAAUCAUUUUAAAUGAGUAUUUCUUUAAGACUGUAAUUCUUCCUUGUAUGUGCCCAUGACUAUAUAUGUAGGAGAAGUGGCAUCUAGAAGCUUGGUUUCUAAAGAGCUUGUUUCUUUGUGAUCUAUUCAGGAAAUACCUUUUGAUGAUUUUCAGCAGAGGUAGAGUUUUGAAAAAUGAAGUUGAUCCCAUACUUUGUUUUCAAGUAGCUCAGAUUAUGCUUCUCACUCAUAAAAGGAAGAUUCUUUAUUGUCAACUUCACAGUUAGCUAUCCAUACCCAUGGUAAGAUUGGCUUCCAACUUUGCCAAGUCUAGAGAUUAGUUCAUUGAGAUUGAGAAGGAGUCCAGAUUGGCAUCGGUUUCAGAUGUAGAACCUGAACUGAUGAAUAUGAGGCUAAGAAACCUCCAAAACAUGAACAAGACUACAGAGCAUAAGGUUGUGUUAAAAAAUAUAAAUGUCAUAUUUUUAUCCUUUUUGAAGAGAAGGAAAUGGAGGUUGAGAAAGAGGAGAUAGAUGGGAGAAGAAAGGAGAGAGAAGACUAAGAGAAGCAGCAGAAGAGAGUGGUGUGGGGAAGGAAGCAGUGUCUUCAGUCUUAGUCCUGGCUGCUAGGAGUCAGAUGGUGCACUGUUACACAGGCUGUUAAUACAGUGCUUUUUCACAAUGGAUGUUUUCCUGACCUUAAGAAAUAUAACCACACUGAUAACAGUUACUCCUUCCCAGGAUAAGGCUUUACACUGUCAACUUAUAUUUACUUACAAAAAAAGCCCUUUAUAUUUAUCAAAUAAAACUUUGCCUCUCGUUGGCUUAUUUCCCUUGAGACUGCUUAUAGACCACAGGACAGCACACUCAGAAUUGACACAGCGGAAGACCCAGGAAUCAUUUGCAUUUACUUUUAGCUAAGUAAAAUUUCAGAUAUUCCUAGAGUCAUGAAUCAAGAGGUUUUCUUUUUCAUUUUGCAAUCAUUUUAUUAUGUAACACAGAUAUAAUCUAUGGAAUUUUGCCUCCAAGGCCAUGAAUUAGAUCAUUGAGAAAAUCAGAACUGCUUAUUAUUAAUAAGGGAUGUUAAAGCCAUAUUUUAUUUUAUUUUUUGGCCAAAGUUAUGUGGUCAGUUGAAUCAGCUUCCUACUUGAUUAUCCAUAGUUGGCACUAUAAAGGCUGUAUACAUUUGGAGAAAAUUAAAUUAUCCACUUAAAGAAGCAACCAAAUUUAGAUUGAGCUAGCAUGCUGCCAAAGGGAUGGAAAUCUGUAAAUUGGUCAAUUGUGACUCCUCUUGGCUAGAAAGACUUAGAAUACGAGUUAGAUAGCUGUGGCUUUUCAGACAUUCCUAGUUGCAAACUGCCAGAAAUUGGCAAGAAUUAAUGACAGCUAAUGAUUUUGAAGCUGCACUGACCUAAAAUAAUUUUUGUGGCUUAUUAUAAUUGUGAAAUGAAAGGAUACAUCCCUGAUCCACAGUCAAAGGCAACUGCACUUCCAAUUGCUUGCCCAGCAGUUGAGUUUAUAUCGACCCACUGUACUUUCUGUGACUAGAGACAUUUUCUUUCAUGUAAUUAGUAAAAGUUAGAUUCAAAGCGAUAAAAGAGUAGAGAAGCCAGGAAGUGGUCAUCAAAAAAGUCUCACUCUUGAGCAGAUGAACAUGAAUACUAUUCUUUUGUAUUUUUGUUCUGCCAUUAUAUAUAGGAGGAACGUCAAUAACCUCCUUAACCAAAGGAAAUAACCACUUCAGAGGACCACUCUUUAAGCAAAUCACUCAAGUAUUACUCUUCCGUGUUCUGACAUGUGAUCCGCUGUUCACACAUCAGUCCAACCUUGACACUAGUCCCUUUACUCUGACACAGUAGUUCUUAGAAUUUUUAAAUAUAAUGCUUUUCACAGCAUUUAAAAGAGAGUUUUAUUCAAUAGGUUCAUGGCAUUCUUGGAAUUCUGUACUUAAAAUAAAAUAAAUGAAGCAAAGCACCAAUCUCCAUAAGAAGACUUAAAUCACAAGGUAACUGCUAACAAUUUAGCCAAAUGGCUUUUGCUUUCCAAAUGCUAAGUAUUUAAGUGGUUAAAGGAAACAUGUACAACAACAACAACAAAAAGGCUGAAGAUUGCUGAAGAUGACAAAGCUGAGCUCCUCUCUGGACAGGAAAAAAAGACCUUAUAGAUAAUAUGAGCCCAAUGAAUUGUUUAUUUCUCCAAGUAGAAUAGAUAUGGAAAGAGUAAUUAUAAUUGAUGAAGAGUGCCUUCAGGAUCUAGAAAGCUCUUUCUAGGGAUGGUUGCAUAUCUCAUGUAAUAUGAGGGGACGGUAGAAAUUAUAUCAGGAAAGGUAAAUCUCUCAGUAACACAGCCCUGUUGGAGAAAACAAAAGUCAUAAGAUAUCUGAAAGUGCCACAUAAUCCCAAGGAAUGCAUUUGUCCUUAGUGAUCUGGUGGUAUGGGACACUUGACAAGUACAUUUAUUGUGAAUGAAACACAUUAGGUGACAUUGUAGAGUUCUUUGAUCGACCUUAGUGUGGUAUCUGCAGAGUUGGAAGCAGUCAGCUCACUGACAAGGUUGGGACAUAACUCACAGGAAGUAAAAAGAACCUAAAUUUAAUGAGUAAAGGAUUGCCUAUGUCAAUAGUAAAUAUUCAUGCACUGAAACACUGUCACUUCUAGGUUAAACUAGUCAUAAAGGGCUCUAAUAUAGGGCCUACUUCUGUACUAAGAUUAUCUACCAGGAUAGCAUUGAUGUUUGUUAUUUAUUAAACAGUGACAACUUUAAAGACAAGAUUUUUUGUAUUGAGGACAGGUAUGAUUCAUAGAAGAUAAUAAUCCUCAAUAAAAAUUAUGCACUACACCU